rnacentral:rRNA from 1 species
GAUGAACGCUGGCGGCGUGCUUAACACAUGCAAGUCGAACGGUGAAGCAGGAGCUUGCUCUUGUGGAUCAGUGGCGAACGGGUGUGUAACACGUGAGCAACCUGCCCCUGACUCUGGGAUAAGCGCUGGAAACGGCGUCUAAUACUGGAUAUGUGAUGUGACCGCAUGGUCUGCAUCUGGAAAGAAUUUCGGUUGGGGAUGGGCUCGCGGCCUAUCAGCUUGUUGGUGAGGUAAUGGCUCACCAAGGCGUCGACGGGUAGCCGGCCUGCGAGGGUGACCGGCCACACUGGGACUGAGACACGGCCCAGACUCCUACGGGAGGCAGCAGUGGGGAAUAUUGCACAAUGGGCGGGAGCCUGAUGCAGCAACGCCGCGUGAGGGAUGACGGCCUUCGGGUUGUAAACCUCUUUUAGCAGGGAAGAAGCGAAAGUGACGGUACCUGCAGAAAAAGCACCGGCUAACUACGUGCCAGCAGCCGCGGUAA